rnacentral:rRNA from 1 species
UACAGAGGGUGCGAGCGUUAAUCGGAAUUACUGGGCGUAAAGCGUGCGUAGACGGUUGUGUAAGUCGGAUGUGAAAGCCCCGGGCUCAACCUGGGAAUGGCAUUCGAGACUGCAUAGCUAGGAUGCGGAAGAGGGCAGUGGAAUUUCCGGUGUAGCGGUGAAAUGCGUAGAUAUCGGAAGGAACAUCAGUGGCGAGAGCGACUGCCUGGUCCAGCAUCGACGUUCAGGCACGAAAGCGUGGGGAGCAAACAGG